GGAGUGCAGGAGGGAAGGCAGCCUAUGAAGUAGAUGCACUGUACUGAUCACUAAAGGCACUACUGAGGUGCACCUUGUCCUGAAUGCAAAUAGUGUGCAAGCAAGAACAGUACCAAGGGCUUAUGAAGAAAAGAAAGAAAGCACCAGCUUGAGAAGAAUAAAUGCUAACUGAAGUUAUUCGGAAGCCAGGAGCUUAAUUUCAUGCAUAGGACUUAAUAAAUAAGAAGAUGUAGUCAUGAUUUACUGUAAAACCAAAGAACCACUGAAUCAUGAGCCAGCAGAACUAUUUUCCAGAGCUUUAAAUAUUUCAUCUUCUUGCCUGGAUACUGGAUUUUCACUAUUUGUGCUCACCAGAAGAUUGCAGCCCACUCUUCUCAGCAGACCACAGCAGAAUGAACUCAGAAGUUUCAAUCUAUACAGACUAGUUUGUUUUUCAUCAAACCCAUCGUUGAUAUUGAUAUUGAAAAACAUUGAUAUGCAGCUGUGUAAAUUUGUGUAAAAGUUUUUGCAAGUAUUAUAUCCAGAGACUGCAUUCAUGAGAGAAAUCCCAAGACUGGGAAAAGAUAUGUAUUUUUAUGCUAUCUACUCCUUGGCAACCUUCUAGUAUUCCUUUCAGAAGCAAAUCUCCACUCCUUACUGCCAUUCUCCUAUUCCUUCCAUCAAUACUGAAAUCGAGUUAUUAGCACAUCCACCUAUUGCUUCAUACACACAAAUGUGUGCUUCAGUGAAGUGUAGUAUCUCUCUCUUUGUGGAGAUUAUUUCAGCUGUCCAAGUUCAGCCAAGACUAGAUGACAUUACUGCUUUCUGUGAGAUAGAACAUUCUUUUCCAUCCCAUGAAGCAAUGUUCUAGCAACAUUUCAAGGAUUUUGCAUACACAAAAUUUUACAUAAGCUUCAAUAAUUUGUGCAACUACUUAAUUUCUCUGCUUAACACUCAUAUUUCUUCUUCUUGAAGAAUAAUAGACUAAGCAGCUGAUGAAGUUUACCUAUUCUUGAUUUCUAUGUUCUUGAUCCAUUGGACCACUUUGAUAGGAGACUGCAUAUUUCCAGAAGACCUGCAGGGUAAGCAGGAGACAUAGAUGUCCCAUGAACAAGUAUUAGGAGUAAGGACCAGAAUGCUGUUAAAAUAAUUAAUUAAAUAAAUAAACAAAUAAUAAAGGAGCAGAUAGGCAUCCAGAUUUAGAGGUGACAGAAACAAAGCAGUAUUACCCACUCUGUAUACUUUAUUGUUAUCCAGAAAUUGGAUUAAAGUAAAAUUUAAAAGAAAGAGCCUACUUUGCAAGGACAAGAGUUGGAGGGAGAUUGGUUUGCAAUUCAUAUUUUAAUUUGCAAUAUCCAAUUUUAAAAUAUUAAAGUAAGUGUGAUGUAGUGUCUUUUUUCAUGUUGAGAAAGAUCUAGAUACAAAGUCCAUAGUACUGAACAGAAAUAUUCCAGUUUGUGUUGAGAUUCGUUGAACAAAUCAGAGUAGAGCAGUGUUUCACAAACCAACUUUAGCUCAGGGAAGCUGAUCUCCACAGACUCCCACAACAGCUGAUGGAGAGAUAAAAGCAUCUCUACAGUUAAUUCAGAUGAGUAUUCUAUCAUCCUCAAAAGAGAGAUUCUGAAUCUUAUUUUUGAUUCCACUUUGCCCUCAGGAGGAACUUAUUUCUUUCUAUGUAUUGCCAAAGAAACUUGGGAAGAGUCAUCACCAAAAGCAAUGAGUAGUCUUCAUGUUUACACCCCAAAGAUUAUACUGUUUCACAGUAACUUAGAUGCAACCUGAUCUAAACUAUAAACUCAGAUGUUAUCUGUAUCAAUUAUCUUAACAUAUUUUUACUUAUAACUUAUAUUGAAAUAUUAAGUGGUCAUUUUUCAUAUCCUAAUAAGCAGUGAUACAUAAUAAAUAUUUACUGUGAAAGCAUGUAUUCAUCUUGAUUUUAUGUAUGUAUGCAUAUCUUGAAUUUGGGGGUAAAAUUAGAUUUUUUCAAAGUUUUCUUUUUUGUGACUAUUUUGUGACCUUGUAUUACUCAAAGUGAUUUAAUGAAAUUUUUUUGCUUAAUUAAAACAAGAUUUCCAGGGUAGGUUCAAUAAAAUGAG
ensembl:lncRNA